AAGGGCGCAUGGCGGAUGCCUUGGCUCUCGGAGGCGAUGAAGGACGUGAUAAGCUGCGAUAAGCUUCGGGCAGGUGCAAAUAACCUUUGAUCCGAAGAUUUCCGAAUGGGACAACCCGGCAUUCUGAAGGAAUGUCAUCCAUCCUAGAUGGAAGCUAACGCAGGGAACUGAAACAUCUUAGUACCUGUAGGAAAAGAAAAUAAUAAUGAUUCCCCUAGUAGUGGCGAGCGAACGGGGAUUAGCCCAAACCAAUGUUGUUACGGCAAUAUUGGGGUUGUAGGACCACGAUGUCGCAAGAAAUUUAGUGAGAAGAACCCUUUGGAAAAUGGGACCAUAGACGGUGAUAGUCCGGUAUUCGAAGCUAAAUGAAGCGUAGUGGUAUCCUGAGUAGCGCGGGACACGAGGAAUCUUGCGUGAAUCUGCCGGGACCAUCCGGUAAGGCUAAAUACUCCCGAGAGACCGAUAGCGAACCAGUACUGUGAAGGAAAGGUGAAAAGCACUUCGAAUAGAAGAGUGAAAUAGUCCCUGAAACCGUGCGCCUACAAGCGGUCGGAGCAACUUCGGUUGUGACGGCGUGCCUUUUGCAUAAUGAACCUACGAGUUACUUUUUCCGGCAAGGUUAAGGAUCUUGAGAUCCGCAGCCGAAGCGAAAGCGAGUCUUAACAGGGCGAUUAGUCGGAAGGAGUAGACGCGAAACCAAGUGAUCUACCCUUGGUCAGGUUGAAGGUUAGGUAACACUAACUGGAGGACCGAACCGAUAAGCGUUGAAAAGCUUCCGGAUGAACUGAGGGUGGGGGUGAAAGGCUAAUCAAACUUGGAGAUAGCUCGUACUCCCCGAAAUGCAUUUAGGUGCAGCCUUGGGAAUUACUACUGUGAGGUAGAGCGACUGAUAAGAUGCGAGGGCUUCACCGCCUAUCAAGUCUUGAUAAACUCCGAAUGCGCAGUAGUUCGAUCCCAGGAGUGAGGGCAUGGGUGCUAAGGUCCAUGUCCUAAAGGAGAAGAAUCCAGACCAUCAGCUAAGGUCCCGAAAUAAUUGCUAAGUUGAACUAACGAAGUCAGAUUGCUAAGACAGCUAGGAUGUUGGCUUGGAAGCAGCCAUUCAUUUAAAGAGUGCGUAACAGCUCACUAGUCGAGGAGUUUGGCGUGGAUAAUAAUCGGGCAUUAAGCAAUUUACCGAAGCUAUGGGAUCAGUAAUGAUCGGUAGGGGAGCAUUCCACUCUGCGUCGAAGGUGAAGCGUGAGCUUUGCUGGAGCGUGUGGAAAAGCAAAUGUAGGUAUAAGUAACGAUAAAGGGGGUGAGAAACCCCCUCGCCGAAAGACUAAGGUUUCCUGAUCAACGCUAAUCGGAUCAGGGUUAGUCGGGUCCUAAGGCUCAGCCGAACGGUGAGGCCGAUGGCAGAACAGGUUAAUAUUCCUGUACUACCUUAAGGAGUGACGUGGAGACGGAGGAGUGACAGCGCCGCGGACUGACGGAAUAGUCCGUUGAAGGGUGUAGAUGUUGAUUAUCCCAGGCAAAUCCAGGAUAAGAGUCGAACCUGAUAGUAUACCAAAUUCCUCGGAAUAAGGUAAUAGUGCGUGUAAACAUACUCCCAAGAAAAUCCGCUAAACUUAAUCUUUAAGGUACCCGUACCGUAAACGGACACACGUAGUCGGGUUGAAUAUACUAAGGCGCUUGAGUGAAUCACGGUUAAGGAACUAGGCAAAUUGACCCUGUAACUUCGGGAUAAAGGGUCCCUACGAGAGUUGGGCGCAGAGAAUAGGUCCAGGCAACUGUUUAACAAAAACACAGGGCUGUGCUAAAUUGAAAGAUUACGUAUACAGCCUGACACCUGCCCGGUGCUGGAAGGUUAAGAGGAGAUGUCAUCGCAAGAGAAGCAUUGAAUUGAAGCCCCAGUAAACGGCGGCCGUAACUAUAACGGUCCUAAGGUAGCGAAAUUCCUUGUCGGGUAAGUUCCGACCUGCACGAAUGGUGUAAUGAUCUGGACACUGUCUCAACCGUGAGCUCAGUGAAAUUGUAGUAUCGGUGAAGAUGCCGAUUACCCGCGAUGGGACGAAAAGACCCCGUGAACCUUUACUAUAGCUUA
rnacentral:rRNA from 1 species